GACACUCCUGAGUGGCAGGAAGAAAGGGGCUAGUUGUGAAUUCAAACUAUAUUCUGACCUUCCAAGUAACCCUGAGUGUGAAAGCCAGUAAACAAAUCUACCCACUUUGCCUCGGGGUCACUUAAAAUGUGUCUUGCCAGGAAUCUGAGAUAGUUGCUAAUUUAGUUUCUGACUCCCUUCUCCCUGAACCAGUGAAGUCUGAGAAGAGACCUGAGUCCCAGAUGCCAAUGCUCUCCUGGCCUUCACCUGGUGAGGGGUACUUUGGUAUGCUUGGCAGAAAACUACUCCAUUCUGUCAAAGUUGGGUAUUACCAAAUGUCCAGGUCAGAUUGCUCAAAUGUCUGGGCAUGGUACAGGUCCCAGUCUGGGGCCUGGGCCAGGGCUGCAGGCACGUGCAGGUUUUCUGGUAAUGGCUGAAGAUAGGUCAGUGAUCUCUGGUUGGUCUGGAGAAGAUGAGUGCACAUAGCUUCACUAAGUCAGGCCAGGAAGCACUUCUUGGGCAAGGGUGAGUGAAUUAGGAAUGGCAUGGAGCUGUAGGUCAUAUUCGGUAAAUGACGAACAAUUCAAGGUGCGGAGGCACAGCGGUUAUGCAGGAGAAGCGGGAGAUGAGAUUGUUUAUGCAUUCACUCAACAUUUAUUGAAUAUUUACUGUGUGCCAGGUCCUAUGCUGGGCACUGGGUGUACAACAAACAAAAGUGGUCCUUGCCCUUAAUGGAAUGGACAGUCUAUCAGGGAGUCAGAUAGUAAGCAAACAGCUGGCGUCCAAGUUUGAAGCAUGUUCUAGUAAGGGUCUUUAUCAUGUAGGUGUUAGGAACAGAACUUCAGAGAGCUAACUCAAGUGGCCAGCUGUACAGUGGCUUAAGGGAGGGAGGGGCCAGCAGCAGGACGAAGAGUUAGAAAGCUACUGAAAAAUAGCGAGGAGGUCCUGAAUUAGACCAGUGGCUGCAAGGAAGAGUGGGAGGGUCAGACCCUCCGAAGCUUUUGCUGACAGGUUCAGGUGACUGACUGGAUGUGAUCCUGAAGUUUUAGCACAGACAACCAGGGGUAGCCUUACCCUCUGCUGGAGAAGCAAAGAGCUCAGUGUGGAAGAACAUUAAGUCCUGAAUCUUGCUCAUGGUGAAAAGCAAGGUAAGGGAUCAGGGAGAAGCAGUUUGAAUGACAGUCCCUGCUGGGAGGGAUGGGCAGGAGUUCUGCUUCCCCACAGGGGAUUGUGCAGACUGAGAGUUUGCUCUUGACCUCUCAGGCUCUAUGUGUGUUGAGGGACAGGUUGAGUUCAUGUGUGUGCGGCGGUAGAGAAAUGGGACUGGAGGCUGCCAGCUUGAAAACCUGCUGCAGUGCUGCCGUUUUCAUGCCUCGGUGCUCUUAGGCUGCCACUGCUGCCGCCGUCACGUUGCUUCCUGUGACGGGAAAUGUUGCAGCCUCUGCCCUGGGCACCAGUCAUGCUGGGAACUGAGCACGAUUGCUUUUCUCGGGUAGCAUCGGUCAAAGGGAAGGAAAAGAAGCGGCGGGAGGCCUGAGAGCAGCUCAGGAGACGCAGCAUCUGUUGAACCCUAUUCUCCAGUCAAUUUGUGGCCCCCCACCCUCUGGGGUUCAUCUAAUCAGAGAGCACAAAUACUCAGAGCGACAGGCUCGCCUCUCCCCAUCCUCUGCCACAGGGGACAGGGUAUUCAUCAGCGUGGCUUGUAGGAGGGCCACCAGAAAAUCGAAUAGCUGUGGAGUGUCAUGCAUUUAACAACUCCCCCCGUACUGUAGUUGCUCUGGGCAUUUUUUUCCCCAUCCUAAGAGCCCCACCUGCUCCAACAUCCUCUACCAACAAAAUUGCAAUUGACCUUAUUCAAACACCUCAUUGCUACCUGAGGGGGCCAACACAAAAAUAAUCACAUCUGCAGCUUUCUAGAAGGCGGCUCAUAAUCUGAGCCUAGUGCCUCAGGCCAGGAAAGGGUGGGGGACAUGUGAGUGUGCAGGGUGUGGGCAUAAGCAAGGCGGAAGAUCUUUCUAAUACCAACAUGUAGCCAUAAGGAGCUAUUAGAGGGCUCAAGGGGAGGGGGAAAGAGAACAAAGCCCUCAUAUAUUUUCUCUGAUCCCAACAAAAACAAAGGCAGCGUUCUCGGUCGGUGGCAGCCUUGGUCCUCCCCACACUGAGUCCUCCCCUGCUGGCCUGAAGCAUUGUUCCUUCACUCAGCCGGGACGCAGAGCACUACGCUGAUGAGCUGAUUUUUAUGCUUCUCUUCCUCAAGCCAAAAGCAGGUGGCAUCCGUUACAGCUGAACUGUCGCUACUUUUUAAAUGGAUGUGACAAUAAAAAAAGAGAAAGAAAAAGAAAGGAAGAAAGAAAAAAAGAGAGAAAACCACCCUAUUGCCCAGUGACAACACUUCCAGAUAAUCAGGGGAGGGCUGAAGUGGGAAGGGGGAGAAGGGGGUUGAAUAAGGAAAUCAAUUUCAGCCUGAAAGCUCUGAAAGGAGAGGGGACGUGUGAAUGGCUUUUUAAGUGGCAUCAUUAAACCUGGGCAGAAAGGUCGAUUGGGCAGAGCAAACCGCAUAAAUACAAACAGAUGACAUUUAUGUCUGGCAGAAUUGGUUUUUGUUUAGUUGUUUUGGUUUUUUUUAAUCACUGAGGUAGAAGACUCAUAAGACUUCUUUCUUUUGCCACCAAGAAUCAAAUCUAUGGAAAGGAAUGUCCAGAGAAAUAAUAUCCACAGGCAUCUUUCCCAUAUUACAGGAUAGAAUCCAACAAUAUCUUGGUUUUUUUCCCCCUCUUUUGGUGAAGGGGAGGAAUAUCUUCAGGGAGUGGGAGAGAAAGGAGUUAGUCCCAGCUUUGGAAACCCCUCAGCUACAAAAUGAGCCAAUUCCAAGACCUUGUAUCUGAAGAUGAAGAGACACAACCACAGAGACCCAAUACAUAUACUGAUAUACCACGAAGGAUUCACAUAAAAAUGCACAUACAAGUAUAACUAUUUGCACAUACACACACUUGUUUUCACAAACAAGAGAAAAUGCCCUGCAGUAGUAAGCACCACCAGAGGCUACAGCGGUUCUUGGAGCUGAUUUCUACAAUUUCCAUAUCCUGCUGGGAAUUUCAAGGUCAAGUGCCCCCGGUGGACACUUAGGAGAAACAGCUACAGACCAGGAAUGUAAUAAAGGGUAAAGGCUGUUGAAUUUAAAACCUCUCAGCCUGUGAGAAAGCCACGUUUGGUCUGGAUGAAGGCAGAAGUCACUGCUCCUUGAAGGUAAGAAGAAUUGAUCCUGUCUUAUGAGCAAGAUUAAUUCUGGAAUUCACUCCACAGCAUCUAACUAAGAGUGCGAAAACUCUUAUGUGAAAAUCUUAUUUCUAAAAUGGGAAAAACUGUCAAAAUGCUUCCCUCUCACCAGAAGAGGGCACUCUGAUAUCCCACAACAGAGCAGAAUGGGGAUGGUUGGAGGCUACAUUAAGAUCUCCUCCCCACUAGAACCCCUGAAGCUGCUUUAACUGCAGGGUAAUGCUGUGUCAGGGUCAGGUAAAAGGGAAACAAACAAGGGUAGCUGUACUUGGUCUGCUGGGAGAGUUCUUGGCAGAGGCAGAAAGAGACAGGCUGCAUGGCAUAAGCCUAUUCACCUGAUAGCUGUCCCUUCAAAGAAGGCCUUUAGCUAUUUAACAUGAUAUUCAUUUAUUUCCCACUGGAGGGAAAGGAAUAGAGUACAGAGACCUGUUGAAAGUGUGAUAUUGAGGAUGCAGCAUGGAAGGCAAAAGACCCUAGUUCAAGGUCUACGACUGUGACCUCAGGCAAGUCAUUUAUCCUCUUUGAGUCUUAAAUUUCCUCUUCACAAGGUUCUGGUGAGAAUUAAAAUGACACAAUGUAUGUGAGCACAAAUGAAAAGCAGCUAAACAAAUCUAAGAUAGGACUUAAAAAGCAUUUUAUCAGCUUCCUCACACUCACAACCAAAAAGUAAAGCUGUCUAUAGGAAAAGUGAGUGCAGGAGACAGAGGUAAGCACUUUGUGUCUCAAAGGCAUGUGAGUGGUGAGUGUAAUGCUGGUUUCGGAGGGAAGGAAAAAAAGAAGAAAAAAAAAACCCACAAGGAACCGAAUAAAGUAUGUGGCUUCCCAGGGAUAGGAUGGGGCAACCAACCUCAUCUCUCACGAGGUCAACUUUAGCACUCCUGGAAAAACACCAGUCCGGACUCUGGUCUUUUCUUGUAAUGGUGUUAUAGCUGGGGACAGAGCCAAUCCAGGAACUCUCCCACCCUUCCCAGCUCUAGAGCACAAGUCUUUCAGCAGCGUUUGCUCUUGCCAGUACCCAAGACCCUCUAAUUCUUUAUCCUCUUACCUGAGUACUGCUGUGGCAUCUGUGGUGGACUGCAGGGAGAGGGAGACUGAGGCAUCUGGUACUGCUCAGAGCCGGGAGGCUGCAGAAACCCUACAGAAGGGCUGGGGGAUGAAGAGAGUAGGGUUAAAGUGGUGGAGGGAGGAACACAGCUCCUGGCAACCAGCUGCUGCUUCCCAGGCCUCCCCUGUGGGAAGCAGAGGCAGCUUCCAGCCAUUCCAGACCAAUUUGCCAUGCAAUUUCUAAAAUCACUCAUCAGUUCAAAGUUAAUUAUAUAUAUUUGUACUUGAUCAUCUUUCAAUUAGGAAGCUGCUAAUCAGUGCUACAGAUGGAAUGUUAGUGACACAUGCUCUUCCCAACAGUGUGGAAACACCAGACAUACCCACGUGCACACGUGCACACAUGCGCACACGCGCGCGCGCGCACGCGCACACACACACACACACACACACAUUCUGAGAAACACGAAGUACCAAAAACAGACACACAGUGCUAGAGAGGGAUGGGCAAAAAAGAACUAAGGAGGUGUGUGAUUUAGGAUGUUUACAUAACAGCAGAGUUACCUAAAGAGAAGUGGGGAAAAACCCUCACAAACUCAAGAUAAGGUGGAGACAUACAUACAAAAAGUAGUGAACAUAUACACUGAGAGAAAUACACAGAAAUACAUAUAGGCCCAGACUUGACUUCUAGUCCCAGCUCUACUUCUAACUAGCUGGUUGACUUUGAGUAAGUUUCUUAACCUCCCUGGCUGGAAUUUCCUCAUUUGUAAAAGAAGGGACAAAAGGAAAACAAGAGGAGUGGAUUAAAUAUUUCUAAGGUGUCUUCUACCUCUAAAAUUCUAUCAGGUAUGACCUAUACUAAGAUAUAUAUAAAUAGAUACACCAUCUGAGAUUCAUCCAUGGAUACAGAGUUACAUAGAAAAAUUUACAUAUAUAUACUCCAAUUUGCAUCUUUUAAUUUUUUUCUUUUAUUUUGAGAGAGAGAGAGAGAAUGUGCACAUGCAGGGGAGGGGCAGAGAGAGAGGGGCAGGGGGAGAGAGCAGGCUAUGCACUGUCAGCGCACAGCCCCACUCGAGGCUUGAUCUCACGAACCAUGAAAUCCUGACCUCAGCCGAGAUCAAGAGUCAGCUGGGCUCAACCGACUGAGCCACCAAGAUGCCCCCAAAUUGCUUCUUUUAAUGAUGAGCAAUCUCUAUCGUAUAGUUCUAAAUCCCACUGAUUAGAAAAAACAAAAAAUGGGGGAGAUGAUGAAGCCUCUGUCUUUGAAGCAGGAAUUUUUUUCUGCUGAUAAGCUCUUAUUCACAUGUCAAAUCAAAAAUGAGACAAGGAGAAUGAAUUUCCUCAUAUUCUACCUGCUUUAGGGCACACUGGAAUCUCUACCCUUGCCCUUCUUUCUUAGGUCAGUGGAAAUAGCUGCUGGUCUAUGGCAGAUGGGCCCUGAUUCGCUGGGAGUCCUCACCUAGUACCGUUCUGCUGAGCCGGUGGGAUCAUGCUGUAGUACACUGGUACGCCCCCAGCUGGGAGUGCCCCUUGCACAGAUUGGCUCGCAGGGACCAGCAUGGGCUGCUGGAAAGGCGGCUGGACCACAUUCUGCGAGUCAUUACCCACUGGGACCUGGGUAGAGAUGAGAAGAGAAUGACCACUUGUACUCCUAAUGAGUUCAUCCAGACAAUGGCCAAAUAAGUCAUCACUAGACUAGGACACUAACUUCCUUCCCUACCUUUCGAGACUCCUCCUACUCACCUCAUCUGCCUAAAGAAAAUACAUACAGAGCUAUCUCCCUUUGGGCAUCUGAUGCAGAGAAAGGAGCCUGAUUUCCUUUAGAUCUUACUUUUCUGGGCCAUAUACUCAUUUGCAUGGCUGUAUAAAGACCAAACAAUUUAAGUAAAGACUCUUCUCAGAAUCUUUGGGCUUUCUCUCAGAGGAAAAACACCUACAAAUUCUAAGGGGAAAGUGAACAGUAUUUUAGUGUUGGGGUUGUCACACUGGCUAACGUGGGAGACUGUCUUCCUUUUCCUCAUCCCAAGGACUGGGUGAUCUUUCCCAGUACAGAAUGUACCCACUUGGUAAGAAGGCAGUGGAGUGUACUGAACCACCAGGCCUUGCAUCUGGCCCCCCAUGCUGCUCCUCUGGUUGCUGAGCAGGCCCUGGUUCUGUGGCUGCUGGACCCCAAUCAUGCCUUGGUAAGCCGCCUGCUGCUGGUUAGGCAUCAUGGGCUGUAAACCUAGGGACGGGCAAGACACAGAAGACAUUAGCUUAGCAUGGUCUCAACAAUGUUUAGGAGGUCACAUUCUCUCAGUAAUUUCCCUUCUCCUGUCUAUUUUACCUUUUCUUUUUCUGAAGAUCCUGGGUUCCUUCUGGGACUAAUCAUUCCUGCUGUUCUUUUUUUUUUUUAAACAAGGAAGGUACUACUCUCUUUCCCAGUCUCUGCCCUUCCCCUAUUCACUGCCUUCUUACACCAGCAGUUCCUCUUACCAGGCUGCUGGGAUGGCUGAGGCAGCUGUUGACCACGUUGGGGGCUGUAGGCCACCGGGUGAGAGAGAGGUCGAUAUUGCUGGUUGGAGUUAGGAUACUGUCCAGGGGGAUAGUAAGAAACCUGGAUCUAUGGUGAGAGGAAACAGAUAUGUGAGAGGGGCCCUUACAUUCAGCCCCAACAUCCCAACUAUGAAAUACAUCAGGGUAAAUAGCCAGAAAUCUGUAGAGAUAUUUGGACCUGUAAUUGCAGAAUUCAUAUACCAGUAUGAAACAGAACUGGAAGGAUUUAUGUUAUAGAGAAAGACGACCUUCCGACUAGAAAGACAACUCUCAAAUGCAAGGUGAGGUAAUGGAAGUGGGGAUAGGUACGUCCUCGGCUCUGUCUAAACUAGAGGAAGAAAGAAGGAUCGUAAUCGUGGACAAACUCAAUUAGUGAUUUUAGCUGGGAGCCCAUGCUGCUCACCUGUUGAGGGGGCUGCAUGUAGCCCUGGGGCGGCAGGACUUGCUGAGUAGGAGGCGCAUGGCUAGAGGGGGAAUAGUUGGACGUGGGGAGGGGCUGUCCUGUAGAAGCCAUGAUGAAGCUAGUCUGCUGAGGGUGCUGGGAGAUAAGCUGGGGCUGGAACAGAGCUGAGGACGGGUCAGCUGCUUCAGUAGAACCUUGACGGCUAAGGCUCAUUUGUCCAAAGGGGUUGCUGAGGUCAUCUGCCUGUUGAGAGAGCAAGGGAGACUCAAGGACUGAGGUCAUAUCAAGCCCCAAAUCUUUGGCGUCAACACAAAAACAGACAGACAGACAGCUAUAGCAACCCCCUCUAUAGCCUUCCUUCCUUACACCAAUUUGGGACACUUCUGCCUCCAUGCCCUAGGAGGCGCUUUUUAGCCCUAAGCUUCUGUCAUGUGGUGUUUUAAAUUGCUAUGAACUGGGGGUGCCCGGCUGGCCCAGUCGGUGAAACGUGCAACUUCUGAUCUUGGGGUUGUGAGCUCAAGCCCAACACAGGGUGGAGAGAUUACUUAAAAAUAAAAUCUUAAAAAAAAUUGCUAUGAACUGAACAGCUGUGUAAAGCCCAACUCCAGAACCGGACUCCUUACCACAUAACAAUGGCCACGGUGACUCUGAUCUUUAUUAGAAUUGGUCCUAGAGAGAUGGGAGCAACAAUACAACUUUCUAUAUAUAUAUAUAUA